AAUAAAGUUAUUACAAAACACCUGGAGAGGUACCAAUAAAGUUAUUACAAAACACCUGGAGAGGUACCAAUAAAGUUAUUACAAAACACCUGGAGAGGUACCAAUAAAGUUAUUACAAAACACCUGGAGAGGUACCAAUAAAGUUAUUACAAAACACCUGGAGAGGUACCAAUAAAGUUAUUACGAAACACCUGGAGAGGUACCAAUAAAGUUAUUACAAAACACCUGGAGAGGUACUAAUAAAGUUAUUAGGAAACACCUGGAGAGGUACCAAUAAAGUUAUUUGUUUAUUUGGAUCCCCAUUAGCUUCAGUUCUCAUUGUUUCUGAACAGGUGCAUGCUGGGCAUUAUAUCUUUGACCUGUAACAUGUUUCAGUUCAUCAUCAAUCCAGAAGACUCUGAAAGUUCUCAGUUAGUUUCUGAACAGAUGCAUGCUGGUCAUCUGAAUUCACUUCCUCAUACACAUCCCGA